GGAGAAGGAAAGUCGCUCAAGCAGUGGACAGAGCGGAGAAAGCGACUUCGGCCGCAGAGAGAAGAAGCUGCCCAAGAAUGGAAAGGAAGAAAUAUAUCACAUCAUCUGUCUGUCCACAGGCUUUCCUUGGGGCUUAUGAAGUGAAUGAAGGAGGGAAGAAAGGAGAGACAGAGAAAAUAUGGAUUUCCUCAUGGUUGUGAUUCCUCUUCACUCUUUUGAAUUUGGAAGGAUGGCAUACACAUCUGAAAAAUAGUUCCUAGUAGCUAUCAUAUGCCGAAUGGAUAGCUCAACUGUUCACAAGUGAGUGAGCCCAAAAUGAUGAGAAUUGCCAGGGCAGCAGGCCUACCCCAUAAAAAGCCUUUUUAACUGAAAAUGUUUUUAGUUUCCCCAGA
rnacentral:lncRNA from 1 species